rnacentral:rRNA from 1 species
UACGAAGGAUGCAAGCGUUAUCCGGAUUUAUUGGGUUUAAAGGGUGCGUAGGCGGACUUAUAAGUCAGUGGUGAAAUCUCGAUGCUUAACAUCGAACGUGCCAUUGAUACUGUAGGUCUUGAGUACAGUUGCUGUUGGCGGAAUGUGUCAUGUAGCGGUGAAAUGCAUAGAUAUGACACAGAACACCGAUUGCGAAGGCAGCUGACAAAACUGUAACUGACGCUGAGGCACGAAAGCGUGGGGAUCAAACAGG